AUUGAACGCUGGCGGCAGGCCUAACACAUGCAAGUCGAGCGAGCGGCGGACGGGUGAGUAAUGUAUGGGGACUGCCCGAUAGAGGGGGAUAACUACUGGAAACGGUAGCUCAUACCGCAUACUAUCGGAUAACCCAUAUGGUAUUAGCUAGUCGGUGGGGUAAUGGCUCACCUAGGCGACGAUCCCUAGCUGGUCUGAGAGGAUGAUCAGCCACACGGGGACUGAGACACGGCCCAGACUCCUACGGAGGCAGCAGUGGUGAAUAUUGCACAAUGGGCGCAAGCCGGAUGCAGCCAUGCCGCGUGUAUUAAGAAGGCCCUAGGGUUGUAAAGUACUUUCAGUCGGGAGGCGUUACCGACAGAAGAAGCACCGGCUAACUCCGUGCCAGCAGCCGCGGUAAUUC
rnacentral:rRNA from 1 species